rnacentral:rRNA from 1 species
CCUACGGGAGGCAGCAGUGAGGAAUAUUGGUCAAUGGACGAGAGUCUGAACCAGCCAAGUAGCGUGAAGGAUGACUGCCCUAUGGGUUGUAAACUUCUUUUAUAUGGGAAUAAAAUGUUCCACGUGUGGGAUUUUGUAUGUACCAUAUGAAUAAGGAUCGGCUAACUCCGUGCCAGCAGCCGCGGUAAUACGGAGGAUCCGAGCGUUAUCCGGAUUUAUUGGGUUUAAAGGGCGCGUAGGUGGAUUGUUAAGUCAGUUGUGAAAGUUUGCGGCUCAACCGUAAAAUUGCAGUUGAAACUGGCAGACUUGAGUACAGUAGAGGUGGGCGGAAUUCGUGGUGUAGCGGUGAAAUGCUUAGAUAUCACGAAGAACUCCGAUUGCGAAGGCAGCUCACUGGACUGCAACUGACACUGAGGCUCGAAAGUGUGGGUAUCAAACGGGAUUAGAUACCCGAGUAGUC